ensembl:lncRNA
UCUCGCCCUCUCUCUCUCGCCCUCUCUCUCGCCCUCUCUCUCUCUCGCCCUCUCUCUCUCUGUGCCCUCUCUCUCUCUCGCCCUCUCUCUCUCUCGCCCUCUCUCUCUCUCUCGCCCUCUCUCUCUCUCUCUCUCUCUCUCGCCCUCUCUCUUGCCCUCUCUUGCCCUCUCUCGCCAUAUCUCUCGCCCUCUCUCUCUACUGUUCGCCCUCUCUCUCACUCUCUCUCUCUCGCCCUCUCUCUCGCCCUGUUAUGAUAACAUUUGCCGCAACCUAACAAAUGUUCUGGGAGUUUUCAGAGAAACAAUUUUGGUUUGUUAGACGCUCUUUCUCUCUCGCCCUCUUCUCUCUCGCUCUCUCUCUCGCCCUCUCUCUCUCUCGCCCUCUCUCUCUCUGCCCUCUCGCUCUCUCUCUCGCCCUGUUAUGAUAAAAUUUGCCUCAACCUAACAAAUGUUCUGGGAGUUUUCAGAGAAACAAUUUUGGUUUGAUAGACGCUCUUUCUCUCUCGCUCUCUCUCUCGCCUCUCUCGCCCUCUCUCUCUCUCUCGCCCUCUCUCUCGCCCUCUCUCUCUCUCGCCCUCUCUCUCUCGCCCUCUCUCUCUCUCGCCCUCUCUCUCUCUCGCCCUCUCUCUCUCUCUCUCUCUCUUUCUCUCUCUUGCCCUCUCUCGCCCUCUCUCGCCCUCUCUCGCCCUCUCUCUUCUCGCCCUCUCUCUCUCUCUCUCUCUCGCCCUCUCUCGCCCUCUCUCUCUCUCACCCUCUCUCGCCCUCUGUCUGUCUGUCUGUGUGUGUGUGUGUGUGUGUGUGUGUAACUGAUGGUUGUUGUUGUGUGGGGGUGAAUGUCUGCACCCUUUGCGACCUGAUGGAUUGUGUUGAUCUGAGUCCUACUAUACUUUUAUCUGGUGUAGUCAUGUUAUCCAGUAGCUGUAGAUAUACAUCAGUAGUAGACUCUUUCUGUGCAAACAGCAAGGGCAUUUACUCAAACGAAAGGGCAGUUUGCUCUGGAUUUACUCUGACAGCCGCAGAAGAGAAGGAUGGUAGCAGACUUGAGGACUUCGGAAGACAUGAAUCAUAUUCUUCUCAGCUUUUUAAAUGAUUACUGUUCAAGGAUUUCACAGAGACACAUUUAACAUACAGCACAGUAGGCUUGAGCACGAAUGCAUAUAUGUCAGUGAAUUAAAUAAACAAAUGUGAGAUGCAAUAAAAAAAAGUGAUAUAUUGUAAGGAUGAAUUCAAAACGGUUCUGUUUUCAUAUUGUACUUUAUUUCAAAACUGUAUCACCACAGAAUUUCCUCUGUUGACCCACCGUUUUCUCAUACUGUAUUUGCUCACUCAAAAGUCUGCACUGAGGCGCUCACUAAACCAACCUUAUUACAGUGCACCUCACCCUGGUACCCAGCUAACCAGGAGAUUUUUGCACUGAAAAUUCUAUUCUAUAUUUAAUUCAUCUUUAACAUGAUUUAUUGAGCUAUAAAUGUUCUUUUUUAUUUCUGAUAUAAAAAACAAAAACACAAAUCCUAGUAUAGAAGCCUAUGUGUCUUUGUUUGAAUGUUUCCUCUACAUUAAACGUUUUCAUAUUAUGAUUGUUUAAAUUAACACAUUCGCUGACAAUAUGUUACAGACGUGUUUAAUAUGUUAUAUGUACACCCUCUAUUCGAAUAGAGGCGAGGCCGUUAUGUCAAGCUUAUUAAAGAGUAGUGAUACAAGCAAGAGCAUUAUGCGGGUUUCUUCUUUUUUCUCAUCUGACAAUAUGUUUUAAAAAAUUAUAUACAUAAUCUGUUUUUUUUUUUUUUUAAGACAAUAUACUCUAACCAAAAAUGUAGCAGAACACAUGCGCAGCUUGUUCCUCACAUUGCGCUG